AAUAGAUACCCGGGUAGUCCACGCCGUAAACGAUGAGUGCUAAGUGUUAGGGGGUUUCCGCCCCUUAGUGCUGCAGCUAACGCAUUAAGCACUCCGCCUGGGGAGUACGGCCGCAAGGCUGAAACUACAAAGGAAUUGACGGGGGCCCGGCACAAGCGGUGGAGCAUGUGGUUUAAUUCGAAGCAACGCGAAGAACCUUACCAGGUCUUGACAUCCUCUGACAACCCUAGAGAUAGGGCGUUCCCCUUCGGGGGACAGAGUGACAGGUGGUGCAUGGUUGUCGUCAGCUCGUGUCGUGAGAUGUUGGGUUAAGUCCCGCAACGAGCGCAACCCUUGAUCUUAGUUGCCAGCAUUUAGUUGGGCACUCUAAGGUGACUGCCGGUGACAAACCGGAGGAAGGUGGGGAUGACGUCAAAUCAUCAUGCCCCUUAUGACCUGGGCUACACACGUGCUACAAUGGAUGGUACAAAGGGCUGCCAAACCGCGAGGUUGAGCGAAUCCCAUAAAACCAUUCUCAGUUACGGAUUGCAGGCUGC
rnacentral:rRNA from 1 species